UUUACGGCUUCAAUUCAUUGUU
rnacentral:miRNA from 1 species